rnacentral:rRNA from 1 species
GGGCCCGCACAAGCGGUGGAGCAUGUGGUUUAAUUCGACGCAACGCGAAGAACCUUACCAGGGCUUGACAUCCUCUGAUGUCCAUAGAGAUAUGGAGUUCGAUCUUCGGAUUGACAGAGAGACAGGUGGUGCAUGGUUGUCGUCAGCUCGUGUCGUGAGAUGUUGGGUUAAGUCCCGCAACGAGCGCAACCCUUAUUCUUAGUUGCCAGCAUUAAGUUGGGCACUCUAAGGAGACUGCCGGUGACAAACCGGAGGAAGGUGGGGAUGACGUCAAAUCAUCAUGCCCUUUAUGUCCUGGGCUACACACGUGCUACAAUGGCCUGUACAGAGGGUAGCGAAGCUGUGAAGUGGAGCCAAUCCCAAAAAGCAGGUCUCAGUUCGGAUUGUAGGCUGCAACUCGCCUACAUGAAGUCGGAAUCGCUAGUAAUCGCGAAUCAGCAUGUCGCGGUGAAUACGUUCCCGGGCCUU